rnacentral:rRNA from 1 species
CCUAUGGGGCGCAGCAGGCGCGAAAACUUCACACUGUGCGAAAGCACGAUGAGGGAAUCCCAAGUGCCAGCUCGUAAGAGUUGGCUGUUUCUCUGUGUAAAACACAGAGAGAGUAAGAGCU